GAGUUUGAUCCUGGCUCAGAGUGAACGCUGGCGGCAGGCCUAACACAUGCAAGUCGAACGGCAGCACAGAGGAGCUUGCUCCUUGGGUGGCGAGUGGCGGACGGGUGAGGAAUGCAUCGGAAUCUGCCUAUUUGUGGGGGAUAACGUAGGGAAACUUACGCUAAUACCGCAUACGUCCUACGGGAGAAAGUGGGGGACCUUCGGGCCUCACGCAGAUAGAUGAGCCGAUGCCGGAUUAGCUAGUUGGCGGGGUAAAGGCCCACCAAGGCGACGAUCCGUAGCUGGUCUGAGAGGAUGAUCAGCCACACUGGAACUGAGACACGGUCCAGACUCCUACGGGAGGCAGCAGUGGGGAAUAUUGGACAAUGGGCGCAAGCCUGAUCCAGCCAUGCCGCGUGUGUGAAGAAGG
rnacentral:rRNA from 1 species